GAAAAGGUUCUUGUGGUAACAAGGUUCUCAAUAGAAAUUAUGGUUUUGUUUGUAGAUUUUUAGAAGUAUAAGGAAUAUAAGUAGUGUAAACGAAAUUUUUUAUUUGCUAUAGAGGAUUAGUACAGUGAUGGAAAUUAUUGAAAAAUUAUUUUUGAAAAAUUUUAUAAUAAAGUAGUACUUUAAAUUUGAGGUACCUUUUGUAUUAGUGGCUAUCAAAGUUUUAUUGGAAAAUUUUUUCUCGAAAGUAAAAGAUCUAAAUUGGUUUGUUAGUUUUUGUGUCAAAAAGAUUAAAUAAGCUUUUUUAGGUGUGAUAUGCUAAUCGUUUUUACUAAUAUCUAGUAACUUUAGAAAAAAAUUUAGUUUGGGUUAUGAAGGGUUUUUUUAUUUUGAAGAAUUCUUUUUUAUAAACUUAUAUCUCAGGGGAUGAGCUCUGGGGUAAAUUUAAAAGAAAAAAAGGUUUUAUAUUUUUGGUAGGCUUAGAAUUUGCCAUGAGAUAGUGUUAUAAAAUAAAACAAUAAGGUUAAGAUUUAAUUUUCUUUGAGAUUUAUAAAGUUAAUGUAGUAAUAAAAAAAUAGUUGAAAAUAUGAUAGUAUAAGUAGAUAAGAGAAUUUUGGAGAAAAUUUGAAUUCUUCAUGGAUUUUUAGAAACAAGAUUUUUAGCAAAAGAACUCGGCAAAUAAGAUUUCCGAAUGUUUAACAAAAACAUUUCCUCUCAAAAAAGGGAGGUAAGGCCUGCUCACUGAGUUUUGAAGAGCCGCAGUAUCCUGACUGUGCUAAGGUAGCAUAAUCAUUAGUCUUUUAAUUGGAGACUGGUAUGAAUGGCUAAACGAGAAAUCGACUUUUUUUGUUAUAAAAAUUGAAUUUAAUUUUUUAGUGAAAAAGCUAAAAUUUUUCAGAAAGACGAGAAGACCCUAUAGAGUUUUAUAUUUCUGUGAAUUUUUUUUUAAUGGAUUUUUUUGAAAAAAAUUUUUUGGAAAUAUUUUGUUGGGGCGACAUUCAGAUAAGUGAAACUCUUUAUUUUAAAAACUUUAUUGUAAGAAUAAAUUUGAUCCUUUAUAAGAGAUCAUAAGAAAAAAUUACCUUAGGGAUAACAGCGUAAUCUUUUUUGAGAGUUCUAAUCGACAAAAAGGUUUGCGACCUCGAUGUUGGACUAAAAUUUAGGCAGGGUGUAGUAGUUCUGUUUUUGGGUCUGUUCGACCCGUAAUAUUUUACACGAUCUGAGUUCAGACCGGCGUAAGCCAGGUUGGUUUCUAUCUUCUGAUUUUGUUGUUCCAGCUUAGUACGAAAGGAUUGGUUGGUUAUAAAGGUUAUAAAAAAAAGAGGAUUAUUAAAAUUUUCU
rnacentral:rRNA from 1 species